GAUGAACGCUAGCGGCAGGCUUAAUACAUGCAAGUCGAGGGGCAGCAUGACUGUAGCAAUACAGUUGAUGGCGACCGGCAAACGGGUGCGGAACACGUACAGAACCUUCCUUCGAGCGGGGAAUAGCCCAGAGAAAUUUGGAUUAAUACCCCAUAGUACAGCGGAGUGGCAUCACUUUGUUGUUAAAGAUUUAUCACUUGAAGAUGGCUGUGCGGCUGAUUAGGUAGUUGGCGGGGUAACGGCCCACCAAGCCUGCGAUCAGUAACUGGUGUGAGAGCACGACCAGUCACACGGGCACUGAGACACGGGCCCGACUCCUACGGGAGGCAGCAGUAAGGAAUAUUGGUCAAUGGACGAAAGUCUGAACCAGCCAUGCCGCGUGGAGGAUGAAGGUCCUCUGGAUUGUAAACUUCUUUUAUAUGGGACGAAAAAAGGGUUUUCUAACUCGUCUGACGGUACCAUAUGAAUAAGCACCGGCUAACUCCGUGCCAGCCGCCGCCGUAAUAC
rnacentral:rRNA from 1 species